rnacentral:rRNA from 1 species
AUGGGCGAAGCUGAUGCAGCCAUGCCGCGUGUAUGAAGAAGCCUUCGGGUUGUAAAGUACUUUCAGCGAGGAAGAACGCUUCGGGAUUAAUACUCCCGAGGAAAGACAUCACUCGCAGAAGAAGCACCGGCUAACUCCGUGCCAGCAGCCGCGGUAAUACGGAGGGGGUUAGCGUUGUUCGGAAUUACUGGGCGUAAAGCGCACGUAGGCGGAUUAGUCAGUCAGAGGUGAAAUCCCAGGGCUCAACCCUGGAACUGCCUUUGAUACUGCUAGUCUUGAGUUCGAGAGAGGUGAGUGGAAUUCCGAGUGUAGAGGUGAAAUUCGUAGAUAUUCGGAGGAACACCAGUGGCGAAGGCGGCUCACUGGCUCGAUACUGACGCUGAGGUGCGAAAGUGUGGGGAGCAAACAGGAUUAGAUACCCUGGUAGUCCCACACCGUAAACGAUGACAUGUCCAGUCGUCGGGCAGUUCAUCACUGUUCGGUGACACACCUAACAGAUUAAGCAUUCCGCCUGGGGAGUACGGUCGCAAGAUU